CCUGCUGAGUGUCGGCCGGCGCGGAGGGGUCUGCAGCCCCGAGGUCCCCAGGUCUCGGGCCGCUCGGGAGGGUCCGGCGGUGCCACCUGCCGCAGCUUGGCUCUGGGGUCGCCGGGCCCCGAGAUCGCGGGACAUGGUGGCGGAGAGGCCCGUGUUGACUUCCUGCUCUAAGCUUUCGCCUGUGUGACCGCAGGGCCCAGGGCAGAUUCCACGUAAAGACGAAAUUACAAAGUUUUUGUCUUAACCAUAAAAGAUCCAUCCAGUUUAUUGUGAAUGGCAAGAUUUCUUUUUUUUAUAUAGCUGGAUAACAUCCCAUUGUAUACAUAUCUCCCGGCUUCUUUAUCCAUCUGUGGAUGGACGCUUGGCUCCUCCCGUAUCAUGCUGCAGUAAAUAAAGGGGGAACUUGUAAAUUCCAAAUCCUUCAGGCCCCCUAAACUGGGGUCCAGCCUGGGCUCAUGAAGGAUGGUAGAGCUGCCCAGAACCACCAGGCAAAAUGUCCAAGGCCCACCCAGCUCUGGGUCCCAGCUGCUGCCUCAGGUCAUUCCAGAAGACAUGUGGGCUUCAUUUCAGGGGCGUCUGCUGUCUCCUUGUGAUGUGUAGUGUGCUGCCUCAUUUUGAAAGCCCACUUAGCUUUUCACUGUACUUCAUUUUACAGAAAAUAAAAUUGGAGAAACCAUCGGUA